rnacentral:rRNA from 1 species
UCGAUCUCAAAUCAGGUAGGACUACCCGCUGAACUUAAGCAUAUCAAUAAGCGGAGGAAAAGAAACUAACAAGGAUUCCCCUAGUAACUGCGAGUGAAGCGGGAAGAGCUCAAAUUUAAAAUCUGGCGUGCCUCUGGCCGUCCGAGUUGUAGUCUGGAGAAGCGUUUUCCGUGUUGGACCGUGUAUAAGUCUCUUGGAACAGGGCGUCAUAGAGGGUGAGAAUCCCGUCUUUGACACGGACUACCAACGCUUUGUGAUGCGCUCUCAAAGAGUCGAGUUGUUUGGGAAUGCAGCUCAAAAUGGGUGGUAAAUUCCAUCUAAAGCUAAAUAUAGGCGAGAGACCGAUAGCGAACAAGUACCGUGAGGGAAAGAUGAAA